CUGAAAAGCCGACCUACAUGCGGAGACAGGCGGGAGGGGCUUAUGGGAGAAGUCUGUUGGAGCUUGUUCAUGCUGAGAGGUUGGGGGUGUGAUUUGAGGUGCGGAAGACGUACUUAAAACCUGGGAGUCCAGAACAGGAGAGGCGCUCUCAGAUCAGCCCCAGUGUUCUGCAGCGCGCAGGAGCCAGUCGUGCUGCAAAGAAUGAAACUGGACUUGUCCAGGCGAGUUUUGGACAGUGCUGGGCUGCCCUGCUCUGAUUUCCCGGGUGUCUUCACCUACUCUGACUCCAAAAUCGGCUGCUGCACCAGCACCCAUCAAACUCUCCUGUAACGGGAAGUGACAGCUCACCGGUAGCCCGGAAGACCCCUGUGGGCAGAAGCAUGGACUUCCUCUUCCUCACGGAGAUGCGGCUGAAGCAGAUUUCCUUGGCACCACUCUGGAACUUUCCACAGUCACCACCUCAGACACUAGCCAGACUUUAGGUCCUUUCCUUUCAUGUCUAAAAUGAGACAGUUCACAAUGUUGAUUUUAUUUGUAGGGGGUGUCAGGAUUCCAGAAAAGCAGACUUGGAAAGCAACAAAAUGUUAGCGUGCAGCUCACUGAGGCCCUUACACUUGGUCUGGGCACCUCUGUAUGUAAAAAGAAGUCCAAUAUCUUUGCUGGUUGUAGGUGGCCAUAUGUUUCAGCACAGAAAUCGGGCUCCCCUUGCUAGACUAAUUUUUCCUCAGGCUUCAUUCAUUCAUAUUCUUCUGCUUGAUCCUAUCAGGACCAACAGUACCAAAUAACACCAAGUCUCUUGCCUCGUGUCCUCAGAAUGUCUCAGAGGCAUCCGCUUCCCUGCUGGAGCCAUUUCAUUUCAGUGAUCCUUAAUUAAAUUCAGCGAGAUGCAGGA